UACGGGGGGGGCAAGCGUUGUUCGGAAUUACUGGGCGUAAAGGGCUCGUAGGCGGCCAACUAAGUCAGACGUGAAAUCCCUCGGCUUAACCGGGGAACUGCGUCUGAUACUGGAUGGCUAGAGGUUGGGAGAGGGAUGCGGAAUUCCAGGUGUAGCGGUGAAAUGCGUAGAUAUCGAGAGGAACACCAGUGGCGAAGGCGAGUCCCUGGACAACACCUGACACUGAGGCACGAAAGCUAGGGGAGCAAACAGG
rnacentral:rRNA from 1 species